AAAGAAACGGCAUGGACUGCUGUGAUUGGCUGGAGGUCGUUGAAGAGAAAGAGCCUCGGCUAUGGUUUCCAUAGUCAAACGGUUUGGUACUUCAAGUCUUCAACUUAAGUCAAGUUUGCGUCUGCGAUGUUGUUAACAGAUGCAGAGAUUGUUCCAUCACAACAACCUCGUGAAGUCAGUUAGGCCGAUAGGCGUUGCCCAUUCACCUCUCGUCACUUCAAGGGUUCGCAGGUCUCCUUCCAUAUUGGUACUGUCACUCGACUGUCAGAUGUCCCCCGCCCCUAUCUCCACAAUGGAAAGCUUCCUUGAUAUCUUCAGGAGUUACAGGAGGUGCUGUUCGUACUAAAGGAUGACAAGUGAAACAUUCCUUUAAUCCUUCCAUCGGAGAGUCGAACAACUUCAGCAUCCUCCCUCGCGUAUCAGUGGAUGCCAAAUUUGAUUCUCGAGAAGUGCCCAGAGUAAGAUACCGGCACAACAUACGUACAUCCUCUCAAGACGACUUGGUUUUCAUUAAUAUACUACAAAAUGCUGUAUUCAGUGUCCUCUUAAUACAGUGCAGCCCUUCAGUACUGAACAAAAAUGAAAGCGGAUUAGGAAAUCUCUGAAUAACAUAUAUCCUCUCCAGCUGCUGUUUUGAAGCAGCACUAAAUUUUCUUGAAGUGCUUUUUAGUGUACUAUUUUAGAAGUAUCAUCCCACAUCAGAGCAGCAUGGAAGGAGAAUUCCACAUUGGUGCAGCGCAGCAUGGAAAGAGAAUCCUACAUUAGUGCAGCAUUGAUGAUGAAUCCCAGAAUUGUAUGGCAUUGAAAAGAAGUCUUGGAUCUUCCCAGCUCUCAUUCUGAUUUGUAUUUCAGUAUUCGUUGGAACCACCAUUCCUGUGGAACGCAGAAGAGCCUACUCUCAGAACAGUGAAGGCCUUGAUCUUCUUUGGCUCCUAUUCUGGAGCUGUACUUUAUUUUCUCUUGGGCCACCAUUCUUGAGCAAUGCUUUAGAAAUCUACUGAAUAUUGUGCAGCACUGAACAUAUAUUGUUGAAGUCUUAUAUGUCCCACUUUACUUCUUCAGUAACGAACCACAAUCUUGAACCACUAGUCUUCUGCAAUAAGUGAAGUAGUCCUCUCAGUAUGAUGCAGCAUUAAAGAAGUCUCAACAUCUUCCGUCACAGUAAUGUACCACUUGUGCAAUACUGAAGGAUUUUCAUUACAAUUGGGUACAGCAUUUCCUUUCAAUAUGCUGCAGCACAAGUCUUAAAUUUUAGUUUUUUAUUGCUCAGCUCUCAUUCUGGUGGUGUUGUACUAAAGUAUUAUUUUUCUUUGACUGCCGUUCAUGUUCAAAGUUUAAGAAACUUCCCCUGAAUAUGGUGCAUUGAAGUAGUCAUACAUCACCCAUUCUGGUGCUGCUGAAAAAUUCUCCCCUCAAUUUGGGACAGCAUUGAAGAAAGUCUCUUCUAAAUUUGGUGCUGAGCAUUGAAGACAUUGUACCAGAACUCUGGUGCAUCACAAAAGUCGUCGUCUCCUUAUGAUGCAGCAUCUAACCGCUCCCAUUCAUCUGCUGUACCGAAGAAGUCUCCUCCCAAUAUGGUGCAGCACUGAAGAAGUCUCCCCUCUCCAUAUGGUGCAACACUGAAGUAGUCUCCCCUCUCCGUAUGGUGCAGCACUGAAGAAGUCUCCCCUCUCAAUUAUGGUGCAGCAUUGAAGUAGUUUCCCCUCUCAAUUUGGUGCAGCAGCAUCGAAGAAGUGUCUCUCAAAGUAAUAAAUUGAAAAUAAAGAGAAAUGGUUUUGAACUAAAUUCUAAAUACUAGCUUUAAGUAUUAAAAUUGAUCAAGAACCUAAUUUACUAAACUGGAUGGGAUGAAUUCUUAGUAAAUACGGAGCCUUAUAUAUUAUAGAUUUAAUUACUUUAUUGAAAAGUGCGAGAAGGGAUGAAACAGUAGAUAUCAAUCUAGCUAUAAAAAAAGAUGCAUAAUACCGAACAAAUUUUUUGUAUUAAAAGUAAUUGUUUGUAUUAGUGCGGGAGAUAUUACCUGCCGAAUAAGGCAUUGACAUGAGAAUUUUGGGCCUAUUGUACACAAGACUAGAGAUUUUCAGUGAAACCAAAUAACUGCCAUAGACAGCAAAAUGGCCAAAAUUUAGCAAUUGGGGAAAAAUGUUGCAGUCAAGAACAGUGUCCAUCCAGUGCUUGUUGAAAAUAUCACAGUUUGAAUAAAUAAGUAUAUCUUAGUUUUACCAGACCACUGAGCUGAUCAACAGCUCUCCUAGUGCUGGCCCGAAGGAUUA